CGAUAAAAUUACUCUUGAGUAAUCUACUUACAAGAAGAAUACUUCGAAAUAUCUGUAAUAUAGAAAAUUAUCGAUGUAUUUAAAUUAUAUGAUCACAAGACCGGUAAGGUUAUAUAACAUUGCGUGAUGGUGAAUAAUGGAAGGGAGUAUUCCCCUUCUCUAGACUGUCUCAGCUCGAGCAUUAUUAGUUCUACACAUGAUAGAGUAACUGCGGAACGUAGUGACAUUGCUGUAUGAUUAUGGUUAUUGCAAAUAUAUAUAGUAUUCCAAAUAAAUAUUGGCAACCAUCAUUUGUAGCAUUUAAGAUGAUCAUGGGUAAAAUAGUGAUUAAACUAUAUUGGAAGCAUAUAUCAUUUAUAUGAGGAAGAAAUUUUUUUUGAACAAUAUGGGAAUAAUAUUUCAUAAAAUUCUCUUAAAUUUUAUGAUAUAAG
rnacentral:lncRNA from 1 species